rnacentral:rRNA from 1 species
UGGGGAAUAUUGCACAAUGGGCGCAAGCCUGAUGCAGCCAUGCCGCGUGUAUGAAGAAGGCCUUCGGGUUGUAAAGUACUUUCAGCGAGGAGGAAGGCGUUGUGGUUAAUAACCGCAGCGAUUGACGUUACUCGCAGAAGAAGCACCGGCUAACUCCGUGCCAGCAGCCGCGGUAAUACGGAGGGUGCAAGCGUUAAUCGGAAGUACUGGGCGUAAAGCGCACGCAGGCGGUCUGUCAAGUCGGAUGUGAAAUCCCCGGGCUCAACCUGGGAACUGCAUCCGAAACUGGCAGGCUAGAGUCUUGUAGAGGGGGGUAGAAUUCCAGGUGUAGCGGUGAAAUGCGUAGAGAUCUGGAGGAAUACCGGUGGCGAAGGCGGCCCCCUGGACAAAGACUGACGCUCAGGUGCGAAAGCGUGGGGAGCAAACA